AUUGAACGCUGGCGGCAGGCCUAACACAUGCAAGUCGAGCGGAGCGGCGGACGGGGGAGGAAGGCCUAGGAAUCUGCCUGGUAGUGGGGGAGAACGUCCGGAAACGGGCGCUAAUACCGCAUACUAUCAGAUGAGCCUAGGUCGGGUUAGCUAGUUGGGGGGGUAAAGGCCUACCAAGGCGACGAUCCGUAACUGGUCUGAGAGGAUGAUCAGCAAAACUGGAACGGAGACACGGUCCAGCCUCCUACGGGAGGCAGCAGUGGGGAAUAUUGGACAAUGGGCGAAAGCCUGAUCCAGCCAUGCCGCGUGUGUGAAGAAGGUCUUCGGAUUGUAAAGCACUUUAAGUUGGGAGGCGUUACCAACAGAAUAAGCACCGGCUAACGUCGUGCCAGCAGCCGCGGUAAUAC
rnacentral:rRNA from 1 species